UUCCUUAUUUCUUUAAAGGUAUUAAAGGAGAGCGGCUCAUAAAUUCUAUUACCUUGUUGAUCUUGCAUAACUGGACAAGCCAAAAGCUCUCCUCCUAACAUGGCCUGCCUGACACAGGACCCCAUAACUGAGGAUCUAGUUGAUGCGCCUUCCACACCGGAGGCGGAGGAUCGGGAAAUAUUCCCUCCAGCGGCGGGGCUUUGGGUAUUACAGGCUCUACAGUCCCUGCUUCAGGAGGAGGGGGCAGUGGGUUCUGCCACGUUUUGUUGCGUACCUGGCCUCCUCACACAGGGCACCAGCUGCUGGGCUGCCCAGCAGACCCUGAGCGACGGUGAACAGAUUGCUGACACAGGUUUCUGUGAAAGAGAGGCUGAGGGACUGUUUUUACCUUAGAAGUAAAAGCAGCCCUGUUCACCUGCCUCGUUGGCUUUUUAUUGGAACAACAGCUUGAACUCAAAUUAACCUCUAGAUGCAAUCAGCAGGGUAGCCAUUUAUUGAAGAAACUGCAUUUGUCCUAUAGAAUUUCCUAUCUGACUUCAGCCUCAUGGUGUGGUUUUAAAAGUUCUCUGUUUUGCACCUCUCUCACCCUUAUGUCCUACAAACUGAUCAUGAGAUAUAGUCAUGAUUAGGCUUUUUGGCAAGAGCAUUUCAUAUUACUUCCUAUUGUACCAUUUCCAGCUUGGUUCAGGUGUGUCAUCAUGAUCCAUUCAUGAUAAAGUUCCCCCUCCCUUUUCUUCUGAUCACUUCAGCACCCAUUAAUGAUUGAUGUUGGGCUUCAUUACUUCACUAAAGUUUGCAAAAUUAUUCUUCUUAUUGCUUCAUAGCUUCUAUGUGCAAUAGCUGAAUUUCUCCUAUAAGGAAGGACUCCCCUUUAUCAACCAUUUGGUUACCUUGAAAUACAGUGCAUAUAGGAGAGGUAGAAAAAAGUUAAUGUUUCCUCUUUUCCCCAAAUGAGUUGGUGACCUAGCAAGUUCAAAAGUUGACCAAUGCGGGGGGUUUCUUAUAUCAUUAUGAAUUUAUGGCAUAAUAUGAUUGUGUAUGUGUGUACAUAGAUGUGCAUACAUGUAUCUCCAUGUGGAUGUGCUUCAGCUUAUUGCAGUCCUUACUUGUUUUGUUGCUCAAACCAUCUUACCUUUGGCCAGAAGAGUCCCUUCAAAGUUGGCCUCUCUAAUAAUUGUAAACUCUUUGCUGCUUUUCAUUGCAGUUGACAAAGCCAAUAAGCAAAAGAAGCCAGCAACAGGUUUAAAUUUAAUAUUUACCUCAGUGAUUCUCCCAAGUUCCCACUUAAGUAACCCUAAGUGUGCCCUUGAAUAUCAAAGAGUCUGAAGAAUGUUCUAUUUUAAAUAAGCUACUAAACAAUAAAAUUCAUGCUCUAGGAACAUGUACGGUGGUGUUUAUCCUGUGGUUUCAUCUACCCCGCCAUAUCCUAGGAUUCUAUUUCCCCCAGUUCUAUGAUAUUAUGAUUUCAGAAGCUAUUAGGAGACUUCCUCAACAUCAAACUAAAUAUAUAUGAUCCCUCUCUCUUCAAACUUCUAUCUCC